rnacentral:rRNA from 1 species
CCUACGGGGGGCUGCAGUGGGGAAUUUUGGACAAUGGGGGCAACCCUGAUCCAGCCAUGCCGCGUGCGGGAAGAAGGCCUUCGGGUUGUAAACCGCUUUUGUCAGGGAAGAAAUCUUCCGCGCUAAUACCUUGGGAGGAUGACGGUACCUGAAGAAUAAGCACCGGCUAACUACGUGCCAGCAGCCGCGGUAAUACGUAGGGUGCAAGCGUUGCUCGGAAUUACUGGGCGUAGAGCGUGCGCAGGCGGUUGAAAUCCCCGGGCGUAACCUGGGAACUGCACGUGGGACUGUAAGGCUGGAGUACGGCAGAGGGGGAUGGAAGUCCGCGUGUAGCAGUGAAAUGCGUAGAUAUGAGGAGGAACACCGAUGGCGAAGGCAGUCCCCUGGGCCUGUACUGACGCUCAUGCACGAAAGCGUGGGGAGCAAACAGGAUUAGAUACCCCAGUAGUC